CAAGCCUAUCUCUGCCUGUUCAGACACAAGGUGGAACCACUUCUGAGCUACACCAUCUACCAAAGACACCUCUACUAGACUACAUACCCUUCUUGAAAGUGGGAUUAUGUCUUUUCCUUUUUCUACACGUAUGUCUCCCAUUGAUUAGUUAACCAUUUCACUAACUCCUACCCAAUACCCCUGUAACUCACCUCUGGAGCACCAACCAGUUUCACCUCCAUUUGCUCAUUAUCCCUCUCUAAUCAUGGAUUCAUUUAGGUGUGACACAACAGGUGGGUGUAAUUAAUUAUCAGGUAGAGCUACACAUUCUGUUGCCUCACAAACUCUUGGGUUAACCAUUUCAUACCCCUGACAUAUUUUCUCUUACAAUUUACUUUUUGGUUUUGGGCCCAUUAAAACCUACCUUUUUUUGCUAUUUACACACGGAAUGUUUUAUUUUUCACCCAUGUCCUAGCGCUUUUGCCAAUGCCUGGUUAACAUCUAACCCUAGAUGCUGUUGUAAGUAGUGCUGUCUGAUUAUACUACAUAAAAUGCCUACAUCUCC